GGGAGCGCGAGCUGCUGUCCAGUCGAUUAACGGGAAGUGGAUGUAAAUAAACAGUGGAGCGGCUGCACAAGAGCCGCCCCGCUGGGUAAAAUCAAGUUGUGCCGCGGAACCCGCUCCUCAGCUCGUCACACUUCGGAAGCGCGGGCAACGCAGGUAUUAUCGUCUAAAGGGCCGGCUGCAACCGGCCC
rnacentral:sRNA from 1 species